rnacentral:rRNA from 1 species
ACGAGUUUGAUCCUGGCUCAGAUUGAACGCUGGCGGAAUGCUUUACNCAUGCAAGUCGAACGGUAGAGGGGGCAACCCCUUGAGAGUGGCGAACGGGUGAGUAAUAUAUCGGAACGUGCCCAGUCGUGGGGGAUAACGUAGCGAAAGUUACGCUAAUACCGCAUACGAUCUAAGGAUGAAAGUGGGGGAUCGCAAGACCUCAUGCUCAUGGAGCGGCCGAUAUCUGAUUAGCUAGUUGGUGGGGUAAAGGCCUACCAAGGCAUCGAUCAGUAGCUGGUCUGAGAGGACGACCAGCCACACUGGAACUGAGACACGGUCCAGACUCCUACGGGAGGCAGCAGUGGGGAAUUUUGGACAAUGGGGGCAACCCUGAUCCAGCAAUGCCGCGUGAGUGAAGAAGGCCUUCGGGUUGUAAAGCUCUUUUGUCAGGGAAGAAACGGUGAGGGCUAAUAUCCUUUGCUAAUGACGGUACCUGAAGAAUAAGCACCGGCUAACUACGUG